UGUGUGUGUGUAUGUGUGUGUGCGUGUGUGUCUAUGUGUGUGUGUGCAUGUGUGUGUGUGUGUAUGGGGAGACUGGGCAUCCUGCAUAUGAGAGGAAUGUAAAUUAUAAUUGGUCAAAGGACUCCAUGCAGUGAUUUCAAAACAUGAUUCCCAAAUCCUUUGACAUUUCUCCAUUUACUAAUUGGAAUCUCUGCCCUUCCCUUUAAUCGUGGCAGCCUUUGACUAACAGGGUACACUAAUGAAGCUGUAGGUAAUUUGUUAUUUAACCCUUUGACCUUGAAUAUCCCUUUCCAUUUAGAAGUUUAUAGCAUCUGUUCAGCAAUAACACAUACCACGAAAUGCACAUGUUUUCAGAGUAUGGCUAGGUGAGUUUUGGCAGUUGAGUACACCUGUAUAACCACCACUCCAUUAGGUUAUGGAGCAUUUUCAGAAAACUCUCUGGAACCAAGUGGCUCUUUCCAGACAUCUUUAUUUUCCUCUUC